CUUCAGGCUGCCUAGUGAGAAGACACUCGGCUGCAGGCUUUUAGAAGCUGUUUGCGAGGCUCCAGCUCUAGCUUGUAUACACGGUGCCUGCCUUUCACCUGUCUACAGUUCCGGCUCAACCCUUCCCUUCAGCGAAACCCUGGCAGCUCGAGUGACUCUCAGUGAAGGUUUUUUCUCCUUGGCGUUGCUGCGGCUUGGAUCUUGUGGAUUUUACCUAGCACCUUGCCUUGUGGAUAUCCGUCUAGCACCUUGCCUUGUGGAUAUCUGUCUAGCACCUUGCCUUGUGGAGAUUCGUCUAGUAACCCGUUCUGCGGAGAUUCGUCUUGCAUCCUGCAUUCCGUCUUGUGGUGUGGAAUAAAUCCGAACUCUGUCCUAUGGAAUUACGAGACUCUUACUCUUCACUGUGGAACUCUAUUAUUUUUAACUCUGCCUUAUGGUACAUUGAUUUGUUUCGUGAGGAAUUCUUGUUUUGUGGAACUGGGUCUUGAGGAACCACUUUCCCACGUGGUGGGAACUUCUUUUGUUCUACCUCCUUGCAGUAUUAAUUCUAUCCAUUUCCCUUAUCACUACGGCCAAGCGCUCGAGUCUUUGCCCCUUAUUUCUCGCCUUUACCCGAUCUGGGCAAGUACCCUCCGCCUCAGCGGACUCUUCCCUGAGGUUUUGUUUGAUCACUUUGGUUCUGUGUGAGGUAUUGUAAUAAAGACUCUUAUCCUGCCUUUGACUCGGAGUUAUCCCUGACAGAGUCCUUGUAUUUUUUUUUAUUGCCUGUAGAUCUGUUUUGUGAGGAACGAAAGCAAUAAAAUUCCAUUUACAUAACAGUCCGAUUCAUGAUGAAUUUCUGACUAGAUCAGACUGGCUGGAGGCUGUAUUAUCACGCUCAUAAAUCUGCUGAACCUUUUUUGGUUUUCCUUUUCUCUUUUACCUUAGAUUGCUUAUUUCAAUCACCAAAAUAGCUGGAGGGAUGUUCUCCAUUAUCCUUUCAAUUCACAAGAGGAAAGCGAUGAACCGCAAUAACUUUAGUCCCAUAAGACUUUGACAUAAGAAUUGCUCUAGGUGAAGCAUGAUUUUAGACUUCCAGCUCCCAAUGUCAUUCAUAUGACUGAACAGCCAAAUGUGUUGGGAUCAAAGGUGAAGUCUCUAUAAUUUCUGUGUCACUGGAUACUGAACUUCAGAAAUUGAAUGUUUUCAAACACUCUUUCAGGACUACACACUGCCCUUCAACCUACAGACAGUGUUGUUUUUGUGUGCAAUAUUUUUCAGAAACUAUUUAUAUAUUUUAUUCUGGUUGAAAGUCUGUUCACAGCCUGAUGGCAAUCAAUCCUCCACCAACACCUUGCCCUCAAUGUGAUGAUUUGCAAAUCCUGCUCUGGCUGUGCAGCAGUGUUGGAACGCUGUAGCGAAAGCAUGGGGAUGUUCAGACUUACUGCACAGAAGAAAAUAUGAAGCAGAUCCGAUCAGCAAUGUCCGACUUCUGGCGAGGGAACUGACAAGUCCACAGAUGCCUCCAAACACCAGCAUCACCACACUCAAGGGGAGUAAA